GAAGUGUCCGCCCCUGGAUUCGAGCCUUGGCCACUGCGGAAUUUACAUAUGGACUGCAGCAUCCGAGACCGAAGACCGUUACACGGUGAGCCACAUGGUGACGCCCUGGCAGCGUCCAUGCUCACUUCGGUCUCUAGUCUGGACCACCUCGGUGGAGCCAGGAUAAUCGGUUAGCAAAAAAAAAAAAAAAAAAAAGUGGAGUCAGACUUGCGAAGCGAAAGAGUCAACCUAACAUGUCUUAUGGAAGUAGAAAAAUUUAAUAAGGAGACGUGAUUAUGAAAGACUAAUAUGUUUGCAAAUUUAAAAUUCAUGGUUUGAUGGAAUUGUAGGGUAAGAAUACUAAGAAAGUUUAUGUAGCUUUGAGUCUUGGUUUACAAGAGAAGAAAAGAAAGAUAAAUAGUACGAUCAUUGAGAACCCUGAAAAAUAUGUUGUGAGCCACUACAAUUGUAAAAUUACAGUUCUAGAGAUGUUUGUUUUGUUUGGACUUAUUAAGGAUAAAUAUUUUGUGUGUGUGUGUGUUCACAUAUAUAUCGUUUUCUUAUAUGUAGCAAUCUUAACCGGACUUUAAAAGAAAAAAUGGUAACCGGACUUCAUCAUUUGUAUAUUUGCUUGUGUCUCAAUUCUGAUUUAAAAAAAAACAGAAUUAACGUAUGCAAUUCUACUACGACUGGAUAUUUAAUAUCUAUCUAUAUAUAUAUAUAUAUCUAUCUAUAUAAAGUAUGGUUUGCUUUCUCCUUAGAGAGACACCUAGGAUGCCACAUAGGAAAUUCAGUUCACAGAAUUGUGCCACGUGUCCAAGCGUUGCGUUUCAUUUAAUCGAAGGUUUAAUGGAUUUGGGUUUCAAUUUGUAUACAGGUUUUAUGUUCAGAAUGGACCCAAACAAAAUAAAGAGCAACUCGAUAUGUAAUGAAACGCAACGUUUUUGAUUUAGGGAUUAACCCAUUCUUCGUCUCCGCCAUACGAGAGCUAAACUCGAUCUAUGGUUUCGAAAGAGUUCUUUCAUCUUCUUCCUAAAAAUUCUGAGAGUCAAUCAGUUACAGGUUCAUCUUCUUAAAGUCAGUUGCUUAAAUCCAUGACCCACAAUCUCUCUUCAAUGCAAUCAUUAAUAUGGGAGGCGGUGGAAUUGCGACAAUAAAAAGAUCGGACACUGCUCCUCCACCUUAAAGUGCGGUUUCUCCAUUAUUGGGAGGCUAGAAACGUCCGACGCGGUGGAGAACUCAUGGGAGUCGAUAUGUUGCGACUUGAUUCCCAGAAAGUUGGAUUCAGGCCCAGAAAGAUUGAUUCAUGGCUGAUUGAGUAGUAUAUUGCAUGUUUCUUUUGUUCUUUCAAGCUGAGACUUAACGAAGAAGAACAAGAAAAAUAAGAGUAAAAGCAUGAAGACGGCCCAACAAUCCCUGUCGUUAAGCUUUUUCCAUCUGGAGAGUUUCCUGAAGCAAUUUGUGGAGAACAACAUCCGAAGAGGAGAGAGAUUUGGAGCGUUUGGAGAAAGCCAAUAUACAACUCUGUACGCUAGGCUGCAGAAGUUCAUAGCGAGGUU